rnacentral:rRNA from 1 species
AGCGAACGCUGGCGGUAGGCCUAACACAUGCAAGUCGAACGGCAGUACAGAGGAGCUUGCUCCUUGGGUGGCGAGUGGCGGACGGGUGAGGAAUACAUCGGAAUCUACUCUGUCGUGGGGGAUAACGUAGGGAAACUUACGCUAAUACCGCAUACGACCUACGGGUGAAAGCAGGGGAUCUUCGGCCCUUGCGCGAUUGAAUGAGCCGAUGUCGGAUUAGCUAGUUGGCGGGGUAAAGGCCCACCAAGGCGACGAUCCGUAGCUGGUCUGAGAGGAUGAUCAGCCACACUGGAACUGAGACACGGUCCAGACUCCUACGGGAGGCAGCAGUGGGGAAUAUUGGACAAUGGGCGCAAGCCUGAUCCAGCCAUACCGCGUGGGUGAAGAAGGCCUUCGGGUUGUAAAGCCCUUUUGUUGGGAAAGAAAUCCAUCUGGUUAAUACCCGGGUGGGAUGACGGUACCCAAAGAAUAAGCACCGGCUAACUUCGUGCCAGCCGCCGCCGUAA